rfam:Hydnomerulius pinastri MD-312 unplaced genomic scaffold scaffold_4, whole genome shotgun sequence.
GGCGCCAUAGCCAAGUGGUUACGGCGACAGAUUCGAAUUAUGAUGUUUACGUAAGCAUCACGUGAUCUGUUUCGCUUUGCGAGCGUAGGUUCAAAUCCUGCUGGCGUCG